rnacentral:rRNA from 1 species
AGUGAACGCUGGCGGUAGGCCUAACACAUGCAAGUCGAACGGCAGCACAGUAAGAGCUUGCUCUUACGGGUGGCGAGUGGCGGACGGGUGAGGAAUACAUCGGAAUCUACUUUUUCGUGGGGGAUAACGUAGGGAAACUUACGCUAAUACCGCAUACGACCUACGGGUGAAAGCAGGGGAUCUUCGGACCUUGCGCGAUUGAAUGAGCCGAUGUCGGAUUAGCUAGUUGGCGGGGUAAAGGCCCACCAAGGCGACGAUCCGUAGCUGGUCUGAGAGGAUGACCACCCAAACUGGACAUGGGCAAGGGUCCAGCCUCCUACGGGAGGAAGCAGUGGGGAAUUUUGGAAAAUGGGGGCAAGCCUGAUCCAGCCAUACCGGGUGGGUGAAGAAGGCCUUCGGGUUGUAAAGCCCUUUUUUUGGGAAAAAAAAGCAGCAGGUUAAAACCCCGCUGUUCUGACGGUACCCAAAAAAUAAGCACCGGCUAACUUCGU